rnacentral:rRNA from 1 species
ACUGCUCAGUAACACGUGGAUAACCUACCCAAGAGUCCGGGAUAACCCCGGGAAACUGGGGAUAAUACCGGAUAGAUCACUUCGGCUGGAAGGCGUUGUGGUUGAAACUUCCGGGGCUUUUGGAUGGGUCUGCGGCUGAUUAGGUUGUUGCCGGUGUAAUGUACCGUCAAGCCUGUAAUCAGUACGGGUUGUGGGAGCAAGAGCCCGGAGAUGGAUUCUGAGACACGAAUCCAGGCCCUACGGGGCGCAGCAGGCGCGAAAACUCUACAAUGCAGGCAACUGCGAUAGGGGAACAUCGAGUGAUCCUCAUAUUGGGGGUCUGUCCACUCGCCUAAAAAGCGGGUGUUAGCAAGGGCCGGGCAAGACCGGUGCCAGCCGCCGCGGUAAUACCGGCGGCUCGAGUGGUGGCCGAUAUUAUUGAGUCUAAAGGGUCCGUAGCCGGCUUUGCAAGUCUCUCGGGAAAUCCAGCGGCUUAACCGUUGGUCGUCCGGGGGGUACUACAUUGCUUGGGACUGGGAGAGGUAGGAGGUACUCAGGGGGUAGGAGUGAAAUCCUGUAAUCCUUUGGGGACCACCGGUGGCGAAGGCGUCCUACCAGAACAGGUCCGACGGUGAGGGACGAAAGCUAGGGGCACGAACCGGAUUAGAUACCCGGGUAGUCCUAGCCGUAAACGAUGCUCGCUAGGUGUCACAACAGUCGUGAACUGUUGUGGUGCCGUAGGGAAGCCGUGAAGCGAGCCACUUGGGAAGUACGACCGCAAGGUUGAAACUUAAAGGAAUUGGCGGGGGAGCA